ensembl:lncRNA
GAGGGGAUGGAGCGGUGCCGGGCUUUGUCCGCCGCUCGUGGCUAUGCUGUGUGCUCGGUUCCCGCUUGGUUCCGUGGCUCUUCGGGAUCAGUGGGGGACGAUGCCGGCCGCAUUUAGAUUCCUUGUGAGGUGCCCUGAGAUACCAUGUUGGAGAUGGCGGCUGUGCCCUGCUGCUCCGUUGUCUGCUUCCGUGCACAGCUUGUGACCAUCGUGUGCUGGGACACCUGUGCCAAAUUUUGAUGCCUCUUUACACAUCCUCCAAGUAGAGGAUGUAGGUGAUGGACAACCAACAGAUGGCACCAGGCCCUCCCAUACGCUCUAUGAAAAUGAUGAGAAUGACUUCCAAGGCUGUGAGUGGUGGCUGAUGAGAAGCUAAGAAGAGGAACCUCAAAGUUAAACUGAUUGGGUGGAGGAACAGACGACAACGCACCGAUUGGAGUGAUGGUGUCCUGCUCAGAAAUGGAUGUGCUGGAUGGCAGAAGAGGAUUCUUGGCCAAGUAUGGAAUCAUCUCUGUUCCUUCACGAAGAUUCCUCAUGCUGAAGAAGAGAGAGGUUUUCUGACAACAGAUUCUUGACGAAGAAUGAGAAGAAGGUUUCUGACAUGAGAAGCCUCACGACCUGCCUCUCCCUCCUGGACUUUCUCUGCACUCUACGUGACUGCUGCCUAAGCCUGGUUCAAAUGCAGUUCCUGACUUCUGCCAGCAGCACUCGCCGUUUAUCUUCCUCGCACCCAGAAACACACGACUUACAACAGAAAUCUCUCUGGAGUUGCAUUAGAGAUGGUGUGACAAACAAGAGGGACAGCACAAGGGCAGGAGAUGUACAAUGUGUCCUUCUCCCAGCACAACCUCACCUGAUCCUUUAAAAUCAGAAAUGGAGAACUAGGAGUUUAUUUAUAUCUCUGAGGAUAUGGCAGUAGUCCUGAGAAGAAAGUCAACAAGUGGGUGAGCCUGAGCUACCCUCUGCAGCAAAUUUUUCCAGUCUCAGUGCAUCUCAGCUGGAUGCAAUGCUCUGUGUGCAAGAUCAUCAUUGGAGUGCUGACGUGCAUGUGUGAAUUUAAGUGCAAUUAUUUACUUGUGUUCACUUGUGGGAGUUGAUUGAAUGGCCUGAGGAAAGCAGAUGAAUAAUGUAAGGAAAUCUUUGCAGAAUCACGCAAAGUUCUAAAUGGUUUUCAGUGCAACAUGAAACAUCCCUUACUCUUCUCUUCUUCUGAAUCCUCAGUUUCAUAUGCUUUCGUUGAAUUAUUUUUCUCCUUUCUCAUCAUCAAGUAAUCAACACUAAAUUGUUUAAAGGUGCUAUUACUGAACUUUCUGCUCUCUUCCAUGAAUUAAAAUUUUAUUUUGUCAAGCGGUGCAAGAACUCAGAAAAUAAAAACUCAGAAAAUAAACAUUUCUUUC